GCCUGGCUAGCUCACUUGGCAGAGCAUGUGACUCUUGAUCUCAGGGUUGUGAGUUCGAGUCCCAUGAUGGGUU
rnacentral:tRNA from 1 species